AUUGAACGCUGGCGGCAGGCCUAACACAUGCAAGUCGAACGAGUGGCGGACGGGUGAGUAAUGUCUGGGAAACUGCCUGAUGGAGGGGGAUAACUACUGGAAACGGUAGCUAAUACCGCAUACCAUCGGAUGUGCCCAGAUGGGAUUAGCUUGUUGGUGGGGUAACGGCUCACCUAGGCGACGAUCCCUAGCUGGUCUGAGAGGAUGACCAGCCAAGCGGGAACUGAGACACGGUCCAGAGUCCUACGGGAGGCAGCAGGGGGUAAGAUGGCAAAAUGGGCGCAAGCCUGAGGCAGCCAUGACGCGUGUAUGAAGAAGGCAUUCGGGUUGUAAGGUACUUCCAGCGGGGAGGCGUUACCCGCAGAAGAAGCACCGGCGAACUCCGUGCCAGCAGCCGCGGUAAUUC
rnacentral:rRNA from 1 species